rnacentral:pre_miRNA from 1 species
AGGGGGAGGCGGGAUCCUGGGCUGUGUCCUCAGCACCCUGUGCUACCGAGCCUGCGCUGUUGGAUUCGUGCUCCCAGCCGUUCAUCCCCCU